GACGAACGCUGGCGGCGUGCUUAACACAUGCAAGUCGAACGGAAAGGCCCUGCUUGCAGGGUACUCGAGUGGCGAACGGGUGAGUAACACGCGGGUGAUCUGCCCUGCACUUCGGGAUAAGCCUGGGAAACUGGGUCUAAUACCGGAUAGGAGCCAUUUUUAGUGUGAUGGUUGGAAAGUUUUUUCGGGGUAGGAUGAGCUGGCGGCCUAUCAGCUUGCUGGUGGGGUAAUGGCCUACCAAGGCGGCGUCGGGUAGCCGGCCUGAGUGGGUGGACGGCCACAUUGGGACUGAGGUACGGCCCAGGCUCCUACGGGAGGCAGCAGUGGGGAAGAUUGCACAAUGGGCGCAAGGCUGAUGCAGCGACGCCGCGUGGGGGAUGACGGCCUUCGGGUUGUAAACUCCUUUCGCUAGGGACGGAGCUUUUUGUGACGGUACCUAGUUAAGAAGCACCGGCUAACUACGUG
rnacentral:rRNA from 1 species